rnacentral:rRNA from 1 species
AUUGAACGCUGGCGGAAUGCUUUACACAUGCAAGUCGAACGGCAGCACGGGGGCAACCCUGGUGGCGAGUGGCGAACGGGUGAGUAAUACAUCGGAACGUGCCCAGUCGUGGGGGAUAACUACGCGAAAGCGUAGCUAAUACCGCAUACGAUCUACGGAUGAAAGCGGGGGAUCGCAAGACCUCGCGCGAUUGGAGCGGCCGAUGGCAGAUUAGGUAGUUGGUGGGGUAAAGGCUCACCAAGCCUGCGAUCUGUAGCUGGUCUGAGAGGACGACCAGCCACACUGGGACUGAGACACGGCCCAGACUCCUACGGGAGGCAGCAGUGGGGAAUUUUGGACAAUGGGCGCAAGCCUGAUCCAGCCAUUCCGCGUGCAGGAUGAAGGCCUUCGGGUUGUAAACUGCUUUUGUACGGAACGAAAAGGCUCUGGUUAAUACCUGGGGCACAUGACGGUACCGUAAGAAUAAGCACCGGCUAACUACGUGCCAGCAGCCGCGGUAA